GUGCUUGUUCCACUGGGAUGUUUCUUGGUGGAAGUUACAGCUCCCACCAGAGCCCAAUAAUGAUUCAGACAUUGUUUCCCAACAGGUGAAUGUAUGUCGGCAUAGAUAUGUACAAAAACCAUAGCUGUUGCUCGAAGCAGGUGAUUCUAAGGUCCUCCCGGAAGCCAGUGUGAAUUUCAAUUGGAAAAGGUGUGUCUGGUGCCAUUACCUAUCUGCAGUACCAGAGAGGAUCACCUAGAAGCCACCAGGAACCUCACUUUAGCCAUCUUCUAGGCUGGUGCUUACAACUGAUAAAGGAAGAAAAAUGACUUCUUCUCUUCUGCCUGCAUAAUAUUAUGCAAAUCCUCUCACUGGCAGAACUUCUACAAAAAUCCCAUCGGCUUGUCUUCUGCUACUGUCCUCUAUUUAAUCACCAAACUGUACUACAUACAAGACAACAGAAUACCCUGCUUCCAUGGCCUGACUCAGGAUCCUCUCUUCACUCAACGAACCAGCCCUUCUGUCUCCAACAGGCUAAAUACUUCUAAAGGCUUAGUCAGAGGCAAUUUUUCUUCAUUCCAAGUUCUCUAGAAUUGGUAUAUAAGCCCCUCUUAUGGAGUACUUUAUUCUUGUUUUAAAUUAUUAAUAUUUGUUUGUGUAUAAUAUCCUUAUACUCUACAUUAUGUUGUUCAUAGUAGUGGUUCAAAAAAAUGCAGGUGAAAACUCCAGUAAAAAAAAACGUCCCAUUCCAAAGUACAUUCUUUUUUCUUCCACCUAAAAUAACACUAGGAAUAAGUGUUCUAUUUCUAAGUUAAUGCAAAGGAUUUUCAAUUCCUGUGGAUUCCAUAUUAAAAAAAAUGAUUUGAAUAUGUAGAAAGAGAUCAGAUUUGAUGGAAGCUAAAAUGAUAAACACUAUAAAUAUAAACACUGUUAAUUUAACCAGAUUAUUCUAUAAGCUUUUUGUAAAUCCAUUUAAAAGCAACAUUUUUUUCUUUCCUUAGCAUUGUAUCUAGGAAAAGCAAGUUCAAUGAUUUUUAUAAAAUCAUAAUUUAAUAAAUGCC
rnacentral:lncRNA from 1 species